rnacentral:rRNA from 1 species
UCCUACGGGAGGCAGCAGUGAGGAAUAUUGGUCAAUGGCCGAGAGGCUGAACCAGCCAAGUCGCGUGAGGGAAGACGGCCCUACGGGUUGUAAACCUCUUUUGUCGGGGAGCAAAGCGAGUCACGUGUGACUCAUUGAGAGUACCCGAAGAAAAAGCAUCGGCUAACUCCGUGCCAGCAGCCGCGGUAAUACGGAGGAUGCGAGCGUUAUCCGGAAUUACUGGGUGUAAAGGGAGCGUAGACGGUUAAGUAAGUCUGGAGUGAAAGGCCGGGGCCCAACCCCGGGACUGCUCUGGAAACUAUUCA